AGAGUUUGAUCAUGGCUCAGGAUGAACGCUAGCUACAGGCUUAACACAUGCAAGUCGAGGGGCAGCAUGUUGGUUGCUUGCAACCAACGAUGGCGACCGGCGCACGGGUGAGUAACGCGUAUCCAACCUACCCUUGUCCAUCGGAUAACCCGUCGAAAGGCGGCCUAACACGAUAUGCGGUUCACAGCAGGCAUCUAACGUGAACGAAAUGUGAAGGAGAAGGAUGGGGAUGCGUCUGAUUAGCUUGUUGGCGGGUAACGGCCACAAGGCUACGAUCAGUAGGGUUCUGAGAGGAACGUCCCCANAUUGGAACUGAGACACGGUCCAAACGUCCUACGGGAGGCA
rnacentral:rRNA from 1 species